GUUGUAAUCUGUACCCUAAAAGAGAUUUGAUUCACUUAAUUUCUCUCAUCUUCCGAUCGAUUUCCUAAAGUUAAUGGCGGUCCUAAGCUGAUGAAGAUGCUUUUCGACGAUUUUGGUCUCCAAUGAUCGAUGUGUCUUUUCAACGAUUUUGUUCUUCGGCGAGUCAAUGCAGUUUUUGGUGAGUUCGUUCUCCGACAAUUAACAGGGCUUUCAGGCGAGUGUGUUCUCCGGCAAUCGCCGGGGCUUUCUGAUGAGUUCGUUCUCCGGCAAUCGACAAGGCUGAUUUUCUUGUUUAUUUGUUUCUCAUAUGAUCUUUGAUUUAAAUUUUACAUUAUACCAUUUGGACUUCAUUGUUCCACUAACCUAGUAGUUAGUUUUGCUGGAACAUAAAGCAUAGAUUGGAGAUGAGUAUGGGGUUUACGAAGUGCAUGUAAAGUUGGCUCUUCAAUUAAGAGACAUUAAGUUUUGUAAGAGUUGAUGUGUUUUUCUUUUCCUGUUGAGAGUGUUCUUUUUGUAUCUAGUCUUAUAGUCUCUGUAGUUGUGGCUUGUUUGGGAGCUUCUCAUUGACAGUCUUAAAUGGUGGAUGAUGGUAAUGCGAGCUGCUUAUUUUGCUAUCUAGUCUCCUACCGAAUCCAAAGCUGAGACACUAGUGCUAUCUAUAUGGUAUGUUUGAAAUUUGCUUCCUAUACUGAUUUCAUUAGAAAAUUAUGUGAAGACUAGAAAGAAAAUUAUCCUGAUUCCAUUUUCUACUUCUAGUAGAUAAGUAAAAAAAGGAAUCAAACUCCAACCAUUCCUUUCUAAGACAUCAUCUUUUCUUUCUAUAAUAUGGAUUAGUAAGAGUGCUGGUUUGUUAUACACAUUUGGUGUUUGUUAUACACUUGCAUUUCCUCCAUGUUUCCCUGUUCUAUAGACAACCUACAUUAAAUCAAAUCACAUAAAAAAAGUUGAAUAAAUUAUUGUUGGAAUCUAACAAAAGGGAAAUUUCCAUCAAACCACAAGAUUAUAUAUGAUAUGCUUUCAAUCUAAACCCCUGUAAGACCCUAAACCACAAUAUUGAUCCCCAUUGCCUCACAGCACAACCAUCUCCAAACACCACCAACCGAUCAUCAAAAUGUGGCUCAACUGCUUCUCCUUUGUUUGAUCUUAUUAAAUGCUUGUCUGGGUCUAGCUCAAACUAACCAAAAAGUUCAGACCAUAGUUUGGUCUAGCUCAGAACCAUUAUCAAACCACUCACUAGUCUCAAGUCCAUAUAAAACUAAAACAGAUACAAUCAGAAAGCUAGGAAAGCAACUUCUCAUACCAACUUCUUUAUUUUCUUUCCAUUAAACUAAAACUUGUAGGGAGUGGCUUUUUUACAAGUAAAAUAUCACUUCUGAUUUGCU